GCCUAACGGCUGAACUGGCAACUUGGAGAAGUGGCAAGUUUUAUAAUUAAUAGUAAUUAAUAUUUCUAUUUUUAUAAAAUUCUAUUAGAAUUGAAUGAAGCUUUGUUUAUAUAUUGAUAAUGACAGUAUAUAUAUCGUGUCUUGACUAAUUGCGUGCCAGCAGUCGCGGUAAUACGUAAGAGACUAGUGUUAUUCAUCUUAAUUAGGUUUAAAGGGUACCCAGACGGUCAAUAUAUCUUCUAUAAUGUUAGUACUUGACUAGAGUUUUAUGUAAGAGGGCAGUACUUGAGGAGGAGAGAUGAAAUUUCGUGAUACCAAAGGGACUCUGUAAAGGCGAAGGCAGCCCUCUAUGUAGAAACUGACGUUGAAGGACGAAGGCACAGAGAACAAACAGGAUUAGAUACCCAAGUAGUCUUUGCAGUAAAUGAUGAAUGCCAUAGGUCAGAUCUAAAUUUAAUGUUUAUAGAUUAUAGAAGCGCCUGAAUUGGCAGCUUUGCAAAAAAUUAUAAAUAUUAAAAAUUAUUUGGUCUAUAAAUGAAAGUGUAAGCAUUUCACCUCAAGAGUAAUGUGGCAACGCAGGAACUGAAAUCACUAGACCGUUUCUGACACCAGUAGUGAAGU
rnacentral:rRNA from 1 species